UUUUCCCCCAUUUUUUCCCCAUUUUUUCCCCGAUUUUCCCCCGGUUUUUUUCCCGUUUAUCCCCAAUUUUUCCCCAACAUUCCCGAUUUUUCCCGGUCACCAGGACGAGUUUGUCAAUCCCCAGCUCCCGCUCGAUCUCGCCCAGUUCGGUGUCGUCCCUCCCGCUCCGAAAUCUCCUUUUCCCUUUUUCUGCCAUUUCCCCCCCAAGUUUUUCCCCAUUUUUCCCAUUUUCUCCCCUAUUUUCCCCCCUUUUUUUCCCAUCUUUUCCCCAUUUUCUCUCUGAUUUUCUCCAUUUCCCCCCGUUACUUUCCUGUGUUUUUCUCCAUCUUUUCCCCAUUUUUUCCCCAUUUUCCCCCUGAUUGUCUCAAUUUUUACUCAUUUUUCAGCCCUGUUUUUUCCCCUUUUCCCCCUUAUUUUCCCCCAAUUUUCCCCGAUUUUUUUCCCAUUUUCCCCAUUUUCUCCCCCAUUUUCCCCGUUUUUCUCCACCUUUUCCCCAUUUCUUCCUGUUUUUUCCCCCUUUUUUCUGCCAUUUUCGCUCUGCUUUUCUCCAUUUUUACUCAUUUUUUUCCUCCCUAUUUUCCCCCAAAUUUACCCAAUUUUUUCCCAUUUUCCCCCCUUUUUUCCCACCUUUUCCCCCAUUUUUUCCCAUUUUUCCCCCAUUUCUCUGCAAUUUUUGCUCCGAUUUUCUCCAUUUUCACUCUGAUUUUCCCCCGAUUUUCCCCCAUUUUUUCCCCAUUUUUUCCCCAUUUUUCCCCCCGUUUUUUUUCCCGUUUAUUUCCAAUUUUCCCCAACAUUCCCGGGAUUUUCCCCGUGUCACCUGGACGAGUUUGUGGAUGCCGAGGGCGCGGUCGAUCUCGCCCAGCUCGGUAUCGUCCCUCCCGCCCAGAAAUCUCCUUUUCCCUUUUUCUGCCAUUUCCCCCCCAAUUUUUUCCCCAUUUUUCCCAUUUUCUCCCCUAUUUUUCCCCCAUUUUCUCCAUAUUUUCCCAAUUUCUUCCUGUUUUUUCCCCAUUUCUCCGCCAUUUUCCCUCAGAUUUUCUCCAUUUUCACUCUAAUUUUCCCCUGUUUUUUCCCCAUUUUUUCCCCGUUUUUUCUCCAUUUUUUUCCUGA
rnacentral:lncRNA from 1 species